AGUGAAAUUGCUGGGUCACAUGGGAAGUUUGUGCUGAACUUUUUGAGGAACUACCAAACUGUUUUCCAAAGUGGCUGCACCAAUUUACAUUCCUAUCAGCAGU
rnacentral:pre_miRNA from 1 species